UCUGAUAAAUAAAGUGAAGUACUUUGAUUGCAUUUCUGUGGUGUUCCUGUAGGUGAUCAUGAUGCAGCCAGACUGAAGCAGCAUGUUGUGAAGGUGGACGCCAUCAUCUUGUCUUUGCAGUGCUGAUUCUGAAGAGAACGCCUUCAUAUAGGACUCAAAGGAAAUCAAUGCUCAAAGGAAACAGCAGUCCAUACUCUGAUUCCAGCUCCGAAGAUGCCCUCAGAUUCAGAUCCAUCAGCAACCACUGACAACAUGGAGGACUCGUCCCCUGAGCGUUUCCUGUCCUCUCUCGAUGGAGUUCUUCUCUUCAGUUAUUAACUCUUGAAAACAGCAGCACAAAAUGCCAGACUGUUUGACAAGUCUGUGAUUGAAUAAAUUGAAAUGGGAUCUCA